rnacentral:lncRNA from 1 species
UUUUUCCACCGGUGAGAUGGUGGUUUACAGUAUGAAAAUUCAAGCCGCGGUACCCGUCGGGGGAACCUAACACCAAGCACACGAGAAAUGAGAAGAGGAGAAAGGGGAAUGACGGGGAAGAAAGAGAACGGGAAAGCUGCUGGGCAAAACGGGCGCAAAUAGCUGCCGUGCAGACCCGUUUGAUUGCCGAUCCGACGUCCAAAAAAUCGAUUGACAGAAAGCAAAUUCUCAAGCGUUUGAGGAGCAGCAAAUCUGAAUUUUUAAUCGCUAAAUUGAUGCAUAGCUGCUGGGCAAUCCUUGUCAGCUAGCCUGGUACUACGCCUCCACGUUCACUAAACAAGUUGCAAAUGUUCGGAAAUACUAGUCCCCGAUUCUUCAAUUAAUUCAACAACGACAUGAUAUAUGUAAAAAAAG